GAACAGAGUAGUGUGAGUGUGAAGGACUGGAUUCUUGUUGCUUUCUCCUGACGCCCAUUCCAGGGUUUCCCCAGGCAACUAGGAAGACCAUCCAUGGUGAGGCCUGCAAUCUAGGCUUCUUGCUGAUCAGUCAGCAAUGGAAACCUGUUGGUCAGUGAGGAAACCAAGGCACAGAGCGGAAGCUGGACGGUACUGCUGCCAUCUCAGCUCACUGCAACCUCCCUGCCCGAUUCUCCUGCCUCAGCCUGCCGAGUGCCUGCGAUUGCAGGCGUGCGCCGCCACGCCUGACUGGUU